GGGCGUGAGGUGCGUUGGAGAGGAGGAGAAGAGCAGAGAGGAGAGGGAGCGGCGGCGGCGCCGGUGACGAAGAGGUAUGGGACGGAGGACAAGCGAGGCGGCCACGCUACGAUCGGUGUGGCGUCGGUGAGCAUUUUGCCGCUGCUACUCCUCCGAGCCGGGAACCGCGUCUGGGUGCGAGGGCUCGUCGCCGUCGCAGCCUAAAGAGACAGAGCGCCGCGGUUCGGAGGGCAGACGCAGCGCUACGGCGGCCGUACCUCCGGGUCCGAGAGCGUCGGAGACGCCACAGGCCACGAGGCCGCUCCAGAGACCCCUGGUGUACCGCCCCUUGACCGCGCCGAAGGCCAGCACCCAAGGCCACCGAGUUUCGGCAUGUAGACUCGGCGGCGGAGGUCGAGCAAAUAAGGUAUAAGGCGGAUCCCGAAGUGGCGGUAGCGUCUAGGGCGCAAGCAGACGAUGCCCAGGAGGCACAAGCACCGACGACACAGCUGUGGCUCUCUUAAAGAAGUAGGCAGUCCCUCAGCUAACUCCUGGUUUACCCAUAGAACAGUGAGUAGAGGCCGUUCAGUCCGCAGUCAGACAGGUACCACCUCGUCUCUUACAACGGCCCGAGUGGCAGGAGCAGUAUCCACUGGUGUUGGGAGGGUUGGCUGGCAUUAGGAAACAAGAACGUAACGUAACGUUGGAGUACGAACUGACGUGUAGAACCAACACACUACACUACCCUUGUAUAUAACCCAUAAACAAAACAGUAUACUACUACUAGAGAAAGGUUGUUCAUCAGUGUGAUUAAUUUAAGUCUUUAGACAACCUGCCGAGAGUUGAAACGUCGAAGUACCACAUACUAAUUUUAAACCGUAAUCUGUUUUGUUUCACACUAGACGGAGAGAUUUAAAGAAGCUUAAGACUUCAUCAUGGCCUAACUCUGCUUCGAUUACACUUUAAUCGAAAAGAACUUUUCACACGUCGCUUCUAACACAAUUACGUACUCCAUCCUACGCCGUGUACAUACCUAGGACUCUGUUGUAUGGGAGAAGAUACACAACAAAGCCCUACGAAUAUACGUAUGAACGAUUUUCUUUAUAUGUACAAGAAAAGAAUAUUUCAAGUCUAGACUGUUGGUUCCCUUGUCAUGGGUAGUCCAUUUCUACGUCAUGUUUCUAUUGGGUCAUUUUUCAUGAGCCAAGAAGUACGGCUAAAUUUUUUUGUUAAUUGGUGAGGGAGGAAAAUUUAACCAACGAAACGAUAUGACGAUCCAAACUUCCGCCCGAUCCAAGUUAAAAAAUUCUACUCGAUCCAAACUACUACGUGGAAUUCGUUAUCAAAUACUUAGACGGUUAAUGACACCGACCAACACUGUAAGAAUUUACUCUUCAUCUGUCCGAAACAUAUUCUACGUAAUAUGUCAAGAUUAGUUCAUUAAUACCUGUACAAGUUAAUGUCCGGUUCGGGAAACCACACGAUUUACUAAUUUACAACAAUAGAUUGGCUUCGUGAACCUUGAAGACACGUCUCCCAAUAAAAGGGAAAUUUGUUUACUUACAGUCGAGUAUUGUAUACUGCUACGAUAGGAUUGACCGAUUGAUUAAACCGGCAUACUCCAACAUAUAAACUCGAUGUCCACAAACAACAUCACGUACCUCAAAUAGCACUACCGGGAAAACUCAAAGGGGAUAGACAAGCUUGAAGUUGUCUUUUGAUUGGUUUCUAAUUGUCCGUACUAUACCUGAUUGAUAUUCAUUUGGAAAGGUUCAGUCGCAUAACACUACAAUCGUACGGGGGACUUCCUGACGCCCUCAAGAACGGUGCGAAUUAUGUUUGAAACCACAGUUUGUACCAGAUGUGACUGCUAGUACUUAGUGAACAACUACGACUCCAAACUUCUGCCCGAUCCAAGUUUCAAAAUUCUACCCGAUCCAAAGUGAUCGCACACGGUAGCUGAACCAGAGUUGGUAGAAUCCCGUUGGGCAGCGAAAUCCCUCUACCGCCAGGGAAACAGCAGGAGGCCCGAGCCGAGUUACUAACCCUAGCCAGUAGCAACCACCGCCGCUUCCACCAUACCUCAAAAUUGGUACCUUCUCGGCCAUGUUGAGUCUUCCGUUUCAACCUUUCGAGAAUGUUUCUUCAUAGACACUGCUCCAUCGAUCGGACUUUCACCUAGAUGGCGCACGACGAGGACAGGGGAAAGGGAGUUAAGUAGGAGUACCUAGACUGUUCCACUGACAGAGGAAGAGACGAGAGUUGCGGAGAUUUAAACAAUGAAUUUUAAGUUGAUAAAGAGACAAAGAUGGAUAACGGAGACAGUUACGUUACCGAAUUCGGGGGUCCAUCGACGUAUUAAGUAAGUACAGUACGCAAUUUGUUUAGCUAAGAUGAGUUAUGGAGAAUGGGUGAUUAACUUGUAGUUAUAUCUGACUAAUAAUGAUGAAUUUAUUUAGUGAUUUACAUAGUCGUACUAACGGACACGAGUCUGUUAUUAUAAAUAAAGUACAAUUAGAUGUUUACAAGAAAUGGUGUACUUCUAAAGUGUUACCUAACGAAUGAUCGAACCAAAACAAGACAUUGUAUUCAAUGCACUGUGACUUUGUACGUAUAGGGUGUAUCAAAGAAAAGUACAUAUUAACAAAGAAAACAAGUGACCUACGAAGUAAUGAUUUAGAGAUGUAAACACGUAUGGAAGACAGACUGGAUUGUGUGCACAUGAUGUAUAACGGUACUCAAAGUUUUUAAUCUACAAGGACCUCUAUAAGGUUUAAACUAAUAGAUACGGAUAAACUACUGGUUGAAGGAAGAUUCUUUUUUUGGGUCGUAGAUAGAGUCAAUGAAAGGAAAAUACAUAUUAUCCAUGAAAGUAAUUCACGUACGAACUAAUCAUUUUGAAAUGUAAAUGUGUAUACAUAGAAUGGAUUCUGUACAGAUGAUGUUAGGACUAAAAAGCUACCCGUAACUUAUCACUCGCUGCCUCCGACAUAUAGUACUCCAGCAAGCCGUACCUAUCCCGAACAGUACGCCGCGGCAGGAGGGCUGGAGGAAGGGUAGUAUCGGAAUACCCUUAACCGAAUGUUGCACUAAGAUAUGAAAUGUAAUAUAGGAAAGAAUUAUAUACACGAACAGGUAAGUCCAAAUAGAAUCGAACCUUAACCACCUUCGCUAAAAUAGGGGGUAAAAGAAAGAGAUACAAGACAAAAGAUUCGUUGUAUUCACCACAGUUAUUAUAUACUAUGAACAGGUAAAGAUAGAAAUCCGUCCUGUAGGAAAAGUGUUGUUCUCUACUUUUACGAGGAUAAUAUGGAAGCGAAAAUACAACGCACACGACGAAAACUUUUUAACAGAAAAUACAGCGGUAAGUACAUUUGAUGUUCCUGUAUAAUUAUAGAUACUGAGGAUUCCGACUAAGUAC
rnacentral:rRNA from 1 species